UACGUAGGGGGCAAGCGUUGUCCGGAAUUAUUGGGCGUAAAGGGUGCGUAGGCGGCUUUUUAAGUCAGAUGUGAAAGACCACAGCUUAACUGUGGGGUUGCAUUUGAAACUGGAGAGCUUGAGUAUCGGAGAGGGUAGUGGAAUUCCUGGAGUAGCGGUGAAAUGCGUAGAUAUCAGGAGGAACACCAGUGGCGAAGGCGACUACCUGGACGAAAACUGACGCUGAGGCACGAAAGCUAGGGGAGCAAACAGGAUUAGAUACCCUGGUAGUCCUAGCCGUAAACGAUGGGUACUAGGUGUAGGUGGUUUCGAUACCAUCUGUGCCGCAGUUAACGCAAUAAGUACCCCGCCUGGGGAGUACGUUCGCAAGAAUGAA
rnacentral:rRNA from 1 species